rnacentral:rRNA from 1 species
GACGAACGCUGGCGGCGUGCUUAACACAUGCAAGUCGAACGGAAAGGCCCUGCUUUUGUGGGGUGCUCGAGUGGCGAACGGGUGAGUAACACGUGAGUAACCUGCCCUUGACUUUGGGAUAACUUCAGGAAACUGGGGCUAAUACCGGAUAGGAGCUCCUGCUGCAUGGUGGGGGUUGGAAAGUUUCGGCGGUUGGGGAUGGACUCGCGGCUUAUCAGCUUGUUGGUGGGGUAGUGGCUUACCAAGGCUUAGACGGGUAGCCGGCCUGAGAGGGUGACCGGCCACAUUGGGACUGAGAUACGGCCCAGACUCCUACGGGAGGCAGCAGUGGGGAAUAUUGCACAAUGGGCGGAAGCCUGAUGCAGCAACGCCGCGUGCGGGAUGACGGCCUUCGGGUUGUAAACCGCUUUCGCCUGUGACGAAGCGUGAGUGACGGUAAUGGGUAAAGAAGCACCGGCUAACUACGUG